rnacentral:rRNA from 1 species
CAGUCGCCGCGGUAAUACGUAGGGUGCAAGCGUUAAUCGGAAUUACUGGGCGUAAAGCGUGCGCAGGCGGUUCGUUAAGACAGACGUGAAAUCCCCGGGCUUAACCUGGGAACUGCAUUUGUGACUGGCGGGCUAGAGUAUGGCAGAGGGGGUAGAAUUCCACGUGUAGCAGUGAAAUGCGUAGAGAUGUGGAGGAAUACCGAUGGCGAAGGCAGCCCCCUGGGCCAAUACUGACGCCCAUGCACGAGAGCGUGGGGAGCAAACAGGAUUAGAUACCCCUGUAGUCCCUGUCUCUUAUACA